CCCAAACUUUUUCGCCCUAGAAACUUCCGCCUCAACAACAACAAAAUACUCUGUGAGACACUUCUUCUUCUUUUUCACCGCUUCUUCUUCAUUAAUCCUUCUCAGAGAGACCAAGUCCAUUUAGAACCUUAAAAGUUUCAAAUCCAAAAGUUAUUUUGAAUUUGGGGGUAAGAAAACAGAUGUAAACAGGUGCAAUUUUUGUUCUCAUCUCUAUCGUGUUCUCUGUUGCGAGUUCAAACAGGUUCAUCAGCUGCACUUGAAAGUUAAUACUUUUCUUUGGAUAAAUCUUGGAUGAGAAAGCCAAGGAACACCAUAGAAUAUUUAUUUGGUUUAAAUCAGUUUUUAGAUUUUGCAUUUGCUUCAUUUCAACGCACAUGACAGACAACUCCUUGCAUUCAGCCGACUCCUUUUCAGGCGCCAUCACUACCAACUCCUUCAUUUCAACGCACAAGACAACAAAUCGCUUCAUUUCAGGCCACAACACUACCAGCUCCUUCAUUUCAGGCCACGGGACAGACAACUCCUUCAUUUCAACCUCCAAUUAAUCCCACACCAGCACAAGCAACAUCCAAUAAGCGUGCUAAACGUGAGUCUUCACAUCAUUGGACUGUCGAUGGAAUAGGACAAAAUUGAGCUAGCAUUGAGUGAAAGUACAGUGGAUGAGUCUGAAAUUUCUCCAAAUGAUGUUGUUGGUAAUGUGCUAGACAAAGAGCAUCCUGGAAGGGUGAGAUGUUUGGGAUUAGGAGCUACUCCAAGCAAUACUUUCAGAGAGACAAAUCUUUGUCCUGGUAAUAUUAGAAUUGUGAGUAAUAAUGUUGGACGUUCUUCUUCUGGAUGCCAAGAGAAGUACAAUCAAUUGAUGAAUACUCUCAAAGCAUACAUGAUAAUGAAGAAGGGUCAAUACCAGAACAAUUUGCUGGGAUCUUUGCUUCUAUUCCUACAACGCCAAGUGAUGCAGCUAGUGGACCCGUUUCACCGACGGAUGCAAGAAGAUGCGAUAAUAAUCCCAGUGACAACCAUUGAGAUUCAUUUUAAUUGAAGUGGAUGUAUUAGGACAAUGUAAUAGCUGACUAAUAUAGACGGUUAACUAUGUUCUAAUUUAUCUUGAUGACAUAUGAUACUACUCUGUCAUGGUAUUUUUCACGGUUAAUGAAAUGUUGAUAUUUCUUAAUUUUAA